UGCUCAAUCAUAACCUUUAUAAUUAUCCGAUUAAAGACAACGUUUGGUUAUGUCAAAACAUAAUAGUCCUUAUGUUGGAAACUAUGACAAUCUCAAGUCAAAGGAUUAAGACAUAACUACUUUGAGAUUCACUUAUGACAAUGACCCAUGUAGUGAUCUCAAUGCGGGUCCAUCCAAUACUUUGUUCUCCAACAAGUAUUUAUGAUUAUUGAAUUAUAUCAACAUAUACAUAAUCAUCUCAUGAUUAUCAAUCAAUAACCAUACCAGUUAUAUUUUAUUAUUAUCAACAUAAUAAUAAGUAACCAGGGAUGAUAAUCAUUAUUAUGUAACAUGCAAAC
rnacentral:lncRNA from 1 species